rnacentral:rRNA from 1 species
UGCAUGAAGUCGGAAUUGCUGUAAUCGCGGAUCAGCAUGCCGCGGUGAAUACGUUCCCGGGCCUUGUACACACCGCCCGUCACACCAUGGGAGCCGGUAAUACCCGAAGUCAGUAGUCCAACCUCGUGAGGACGCUGCCGAAGGUAGGAUUGGCGACUGGGGUGAAGUCGUAACAAGGUAUC